rnacentral:rRNA from 1 species
GACGAUGGGGGCGAGCGUUAUCCAUAAUGACUGGGCGUAAAGGGUUCGUAGGUUGUUGUUGGUUUUGAAUACGAAAGCCACGCUCGGAAGAGAUGAAGUGUUUUCAAAAACCACCAACUUGAGGAAAAAAAAGGUAGCUUGAAUUUUGCAAGGAGGGAUGGUAUCCAGAAAGAUGCAAAGGAAGACCGAUUGGCACAGGCGGGCUACUAGUUUUUUACUAACAUUGGGGAACGAAAGUGUGGGGAGCAAACAGG